rnacentral:rRNA from 1 species
AGGAUCAUUCGCAAUGGGCGAAAGCCUGACGAUGCGACGCUGCGUGGAGGAUGAAGGCCUUCGGGUUGUAAACUCCUGUCAUGAGGGAAGAGGCGAGGGGGCCCAACACGUCCCUUAGUUGACUGUACCUCAAGAGGAAGCGACGGCUAACUCUGUGCCAGCAGCCGCGGUAAUACAGAGGUCGCAAGCGUUGUUCGGAUUUACUGGGCGUAAAGGGCACGUAGGCUGCGAGGCGUGUCGAGUGUGAAAUCUCCGGGCCCAACCCGGAAAGUGCGCUCGAAACUACCCCGCUGGAGUACGGGAGAGGGAAGGGGAAUGCAGGGUGUAGCGGUGAAAUGCGUUGAUAUCCUGCAGAACACCGGAGGCGAAGGCGCCUUCCUGGAACGUUACUGACGCUAAGGUGCGAAAGUCGGGGGAGCAAACA